AGCGGUGGUUUGCUUGUAGUCUUUCCGGCGUGAGCGGAAGGGGAAGGCUUAGUACCGACAGCAUCUCACUCACCCGUACAUGGAAAGAGGACAGCACGCCGGUGCUGAAACACCUAGUGAGACGGAUAAAGCCCCCGCCGGCAUCUCACUGCUGGGGCCGUUUUGGUCGUGGAUCUGACUACCUGAUAAGCUUGAGGAUACAGAGAAAGCCUAACUGUCACCAUGUCGACUUCAAUGCUACGGCGUCAGCUGAAGAACAUCGUUCAGAACUUCUCUGAGGCAGAAAUCAAGGUGAGAGGAGA